rnacentral:tRNA from 1 species
CCGGGCGUCUGGACGAGGAGCGGCUCGCGCGGCUGCUGCCCGCGCUGCUGCCGGUCGAGGAGGUCGACGGCUGGUUCCUGUGCGGCCCGUUCGGUC